rnacentral:rRNA from 1 species
GACGAACGCUGGCGGCGUGCUUAACACAUGCAAGUCGAGCGGUAAGGCCCUUUCGGGGGUACACGAGCGGUGAACGGGUGAGUAACACGUGGGUGACCUGCCCUCAGCUCUGGGAUAAGCCUGGGAAACCGGGUCUAAUACUGGAUAUGACUCCAUGACGCAUGUUGUGGGGUGGAAAGCCUUGUGCGGCUGAGGAUGGGCCCGCGGCCUAUCAGCUUGUUGGUGGGGUGAGGCCUACCAAGGCGACGACGGGUAGCCGGCCUGAGAGGGCGACCGGCCACACUGGGACUGAGACACGGCCCAGACUCCUACGGGAGGCAGCAGUGGGGAAUCUUGCGCAAUGGGCGAAAGCCUGACGCAGCGACG